rfam:Callithrix jacchus chromosome 11, whole genome shotgun sequence
UAUUAGGUUGGCACAAAAGUAAUUGUGGUUUUUGCCAUUACUUUUAAUGACAAAAAUCGCAGUUACUUUUGUGCCAACCUAAUA